rnacentral:rRNA from 1 species
UACGAAGGGGGCUAGCGUUGUUCGGAAUUACUGGGCGUAAAGCGCACGUAGGCGGACAUUUAAGUCAGGGGUGAAAUCCCGGGGCUCAACCCCGGAACGGCCUUUGAUACUGGGUGUCUUGAGUUCGGAAGAGGUGAGUGGAAUUGCGAGUGUAGAGGUGAAAUUCGUAGAUAUUCGCAGGAACACCAGUGGCGAAGGCGGCCUCACUGGUCCGAUACUGACGCUGAGGUGCGAAAGCGUGGGGAGCAAACAGG